rnacentral:rRNA from 1 species
AUACGUAGGUGACAAGCGUUAUCCGGAUUUACUGGGCGUAAAGGGCGUGUAGGCGGUCUUGCAAGUCAGAAGUGAAAUUCCUGAGCUCAACUCGGGCGCUGCUUCUGAAACUGCAGGACUAGAGUGCUGGAGGGGAUAGCGGAAUUCCUAGUGGAGCGGUAAAAUGCGCAGAUAUUAGGAAGAACACCGGUGGCGAAGGCGGCUAUCUGGACAGUAACUGACGCUGAGGCGCGAAAGCGUGGGGAGCAAACAGGAUUAGAUACCCUGGUAGUCCACGCCGUAAACGAUGGAUACUAGGUGUAGGAGGUAUCGACCCCUUCUGUGCCGGAGUUAACACAAUAAGUAUCCCACCUGGGGAGUACGACCGCAAGGUUGAAACUUAAAGGAAUUGACGGG